GAUCCAGUGUUGUGUAGUGGUUGGAGUGUUGGACUACGAUUCCAGAGAUCAGGGUUCAGUUCCCUGCUUGGUCC